rnacentral:rRNA from 1 species
UACGAAGGGGGCUAGCGUUGCUCGGAAUCACUGGGCGUAAAGCGCACGUAGGCGGCUUGUUAAGUCGGGGGUGAAAUCCUGGAGCUCAACUCCAGAACUGCCCUCGAUACUGAUGAGCUCGAGUCCGGGAGAGGUGAGUGGAACUGCGAGUGUAGAGGUGAAAUUCGUAGAUAUUCGCAAGAACACCAGUGGCGAAGGCGGCUCACUGGCCCGGUACUGACGCUGAGGUGCGAAAGCGUGGGGAGCGAACAGG